rnacentral:tRNA from 1 species
CAAAACGUAGCUUAACCACAAAGCAUUCGGCUUACACCCGAAAAAUAUCGCCUACCGAUCGUUUUGA